GAUGAACGCUGGCGGCGUGCCUAAUACAUGCAAGUCGAGCGAACGGACGAGAAGCUUGCUUCUCUGAUGUUAGCGGCGGACGGGUGAGUAACACGUGGAUAACCUACCUAUAAGACUAGGAUAACUUCGGGAAACCGGAGCUAAUACCGGAUGAUAUUUUGAACCGCAUGGUUCAAAAGUGAAAGACGGUCUUGCUGUCACUUAUAGAUGGAUCCGCGCUGCAUUAUCUAGUUGGUAAGGUAACGGCUUACCAAGGCAACGAUGCAUAGCCGACCUGAGAGGGUGAUCGGCCACACUGGAACUGAGACACGGUCCAGACUCCUACGGGAGGCAGCAGUAGGGAAUAUUCCGCAAUGGGCGAAAGCCUGACGGAGCAACGCCGCGUGAGUGAUGAAGGUCUUCGGAUCGUAAAACUCUGUUAUUAGGGAAGAACAUAUGUGUAAGUAACUGUGCACAUCUUGACGGUACCUAAUCAGAAAGCCACGGCUAACUACGUG
rnacentral:rRNA from 1 species